rnacentral:rRNA from 1 species
CAGCAGCCGCGGUAAUACGUAGGUGGCAAGCGUUGUCCGGAAUUAUUGGGCGUAAAGGGCUCGCAGGCGGUUCCUUAAGUCUGAUGUGAAAGCCCCCGGCCCAACCGGGGAGGGUCAUUGGAAACUGGGAAACUUGAGUGCAGAAGAGGAGAGUGGAAUUCCACGUGUAGCGGUGAAAUGCGUAGAGAUGUGGAGGAACACCAGUGGCGAAGGCGACUCUCUGGUCUGUAACUGACGCUGAGGAGCGAAAGCGUGGGGAGCGAACAGGAUUAGAUACCUGGGUAGUCCCUGUCUCUUAUAA